GGGACACGUGGUAUCCUGUCUGAAUAUGGGGGGACCAUCCUCCAAGGCUAAAUACUCCUGACUGACCGAUAGUGAACCAGUACCGUGAGGGAAAGGCGAAAAGAACCCCGGCGAGGGGAGUGAAAAAGAACCUGAAACCGUGUACGUACAAGCAGUGGGAGCACGCUUAGGCGUGUGACUGCGUACCUUUUGUAUAAUGGGUCAGCGACUUAUAUUCUGUAGCAAGGUUAACCGAAUAGGGGAGCCGAAGGGAAACCGAGUCUUAACUGGGCGUUAAGUUGCAGGGUAUAGACCCGAAACCCGGUGAUCUAGCCAUGGGCAGGUUGAAGGUUGGGUAACACUAACUGGAGGACCGAACCGACUAAUGUUGAAAAAUUAGCGGAUGACUUGUGGCUGGGGGUGAAAGGCCAAUCAAACCGGGAGAUAGCUGGUUCUCCCCGAAAGCUAUUUAGGUAGCGCCUCGUGAAUUCAUCUCCGGGGGUAGAGCACUGUUUCGGCAAGGGGGUCAUCCCGACUUACCAACCCGAUGCAAACUGCGAAUACCGGAGAAUGUUAUCACGGGAGACACACGGCGGGUGCUAACGUCCGUCGUGAAGAGGGAAACAACCCAGACCGCCAGCUAAGGUCCCAAAGUCAUGGUUAAGUGGGAAACGAUGUGGGAAGGCCCAGACAGCCAGGAUGUUGGCUUAGAAGCAGCCAUCAUUUAAAGAAAGCGUAAUAGCUCACUGGUCGAGUCGGCCUGCGCGGAAGAUGUAACGGGGCUAAACCAUGCACCGAAGCUGCGGCAGCGACGCUUAUGCGUUGUUGGGUAGGGGAGCGUUCUGUAAGCCUGUGAAGGUGUGCUGUGAGGCAUGCUGGAGGUAUCAGAAGUGCGAAUGCUGACAUAAGUAACGAUAAAGCGGGUGAAAAGCCCGCUCGCCGGAAGACCAAGGGUUCCUGUCCAACGUUAAUCGGGGCAGGGUGAGUCGACCCCUAAGGCGAGGCCGAAAGGCGUAGUCGAUGGGAAACAGGUUAAUAUUCCUGUACUUGGUGUUACUGCGAAGGGGGGACGGAGAAGGCUAUGUUGGCCGGGCGACGGUUGUCCCGGUUUAAGCGUGUAGGCUGGUUUUCCAGGCAAAUCCGGAAAAUCAAGGCUGAGGCGUGAUGACGAGGCACUACGGUGCUGAAGCAACAAAUGCCCUGCUUCCAGGAAAAGCCUCUAAGCAUCAGGUAACAUCAAAUCGUACCCCAAACCGACACAGGUGGUCAGGUAGAGAAUACCAAGGCGCUUGAGAGAACUCGGGUGAAGGAACUAGGCAAAAUGGUGCCGUAACU
rnacentral:rRNA from 1 species